GAUGAACGCUGGCGGCGUGCCUAAUACAUGCAAGUCGAGCGAACAGACGAGGAGCUUGCUCCUCUGACGUUAGCGGCGGACGGGUGAGUAACACGUGGAUAACCUACCUAUAAGACUGGGAUAACUUCGGGAAACCGGAGCUAAUACCGGAUAAUAUAUUGAACCGCAUGGUUCAAUAGUGAAAGACGGUUUUGCUGUCACUUAUAGAUGGAUCCGCGCCGCAUUAGCUAGUUGGUAAGGUAACGGCUUACCAAGGCAACGAUGCGUAGCCGACCUGAGAGGGUGAUCGGCCACACUGGAACUGAGACACGGUCCAGACUCCCACGGGAGGCAGCAGUAGGGAAUCUUCCGCAAUGGGCGAAAGCCUGACGGAGCAACGCCGCGUGAGUGAUGAAGGUCUUCGGAUCGUAAAACUCUGUUAUUAGGGAAGAACAAAUGUGUAAGUAACUAUGCACGUCUUGACGGUACCUAAGCAGAAAGCCACGGCUAACUACGU
rnacentral:rRNA from 1 species